AGGAUCAUUACCGUUA
rnacentral:rRNA from 1 species